rnacentral:rRNA from 1 species
AUUGAACGCUGGCGGCAUGCGUAACACAUGCAAGUCGAACGGUGUUUGGUGCUUGCACCAGACAUAGUGGCGGACGGGUGAGUAAUGCGUAGGAAUCUGUCUUAGAGAGGGGGACAACCCGAGGAAACUUGGGCUAAAAACCGCAUAUUCUCGAGAGAGGAAAGCAGGGGACCGGAAACGGCCUUGUGCUCUAAGGUGAGCCUACGUCGGAUUAGCUAGUUGGUAGGGUAAAAGCCUACCAAGGCGAUGAUCUGUAGCUGGUCUGAGAGGACGGACAGCCACACUGGGACUGAGACACGGCCCAGACUCCUACGGGAGGCAGCAGUGGGAAUAUUGGACAAAUGGGGGGGAAACCCCUGGAAUCCCAAGCGAAUGCCGCGUGUGUGAAGAAGGCCUGCGGUUGUAAAGCACUUUCAGUGGGAAAGAGAAAGCGUCUUGUGAAUAAUGGACGUGGAGAGUUAACUCUACAGAAGAAGACACCGGCUAACUCU